ACAUGACAGCAGCGUUUCUUUAUGUACAGGCGGCCAACGCAACCGAGAAGAGAAGGCGGGGAGCGGCGGCGCGAUGGACCGAAUCACAAGUUGCGACAGAGGCAACAAGGAGCCCAAUCGAAGAGGGAGGCCCAGAUGUCGCCGUGCCCUCGCCUCCGCCUCCGCCUCCGCCGCUGGAUCGCCCUGCCCGCCGGCGAAGGACGCCGUCGGGUCUCGGAGUCGGCCUUGCGCAGGAUCUCCCACAUGACGCGCACGUCCUCGUACUCGCACGUCCUCACCUCCUUCCGUAGCUUCUUCAGCCCUGUUCAUGGGAGGCGGCAGAGCGUCAGAAGCCCGGAUGGAUGAAUCAGGCCAUCCAUGGCGCAUGGGUGAGAGAACUUACCGGUCCUUUGGUCGCCGAGACGGGUGGCGAAGCCGAUCCACACUCGACGCGCCGGGAACACCACCACCCGCUCCCACCACGCCAUCCUAAGUCCCUUCCCCUCUUCUCUUCCUCCGACGAGAGAGAAAGAGAAGAGUUGCCGUCCCUGGUUGUGGAGGAAGCGUCUCUUAUUCUGCAGCGAGGUGCACGGGCGAAAGAACGCGUGAUCAGCGUCGUCGACAGCCCCCGCGACGCGGGCUUGGGAUGUGGCGUCGUCCGCACGCGUCGAUGCUCCAGUGGGCGGGGGGAUGUUUCUCGACUUCCUUUGAAUUCUGCACGCCAUCUGUUUGCGUUCGGGCCCAAGUGUCGAUGCUCCAGAGCAUGGAACGCUCAUGUAUUCUUAUGGACGUGUCUCCGUCUGAUGGAUUUGUAGGAGAAAUGGAUACCCAUUGGGUUUGGGUUCGAUCCAGAUUUGUGAGUGCCACACCCAUCACCAUCGCUAAUGCUGGACUAAUUCCUUUUACAUAAAGCUGGGUGCCCCUCCUUACUCUGGGUAGCUUUCUGAAGGUUGGCGGACGGGUAGUGAGUAUGGAAAGGCAGGUAGAUUUGGAUCUGUCAAGAUGGUUCGUUUCAUUUAACCCGACUUGAGUACGUAAUGCGACGAAAGACUUCAAGAACCGUGACAUGAAGCUGUAGUUCGGUCUGAGAGGCGAGAUGAAGAUGAGGGGGGAGUGUGAAUAAGAGAUGCGCUUGAUCGCCAUUUCCUCGUCGCCGACCUCCUAGCGGUGGCGCUCCUAGCCCUCUCCGAAGGGCUGGCCUCCGCCUCCGCCCCUGCCGCUUCCGUCGUUGGUCGCCGAUCCUCGUGUCCAGAUCAAGGUCCGCGAGGUCGGCAACCGGACCGCCAUGUCCAAGGCGAAACCGAUGUCGGCGUCGUCCAGCCCAAGGAGUACUGGGAUUACGAGUCCAUACAAUGAGGUACUUCAUGUGAACCAGUUGUAUACUUUUGGGCAUGUUUCUUGGUAUUUCCAUGUUUCAGAUUUUUAUUUACAGUUGAUAACCAGCCUUCUAAGAAUUGUGGGCUGACGGAAAAAAUGUCUAGAUGGAAGGAUCCCAGUUCCUGAAACAAGUUCCUCGUCAUGUAAUUUUUAAUUUGGUUCCUUUUUGUUUGGGUUUGAUACGUUAGAUACGAAUGUUGGGUGGGUAAUCUUAAGAUGGUUGAACUAUUCAAAAUAAUUUUUCUUUUGCA